rnacentral:rRNA from 1 species
AGUCGAGCGAGCGGACCAACAGAUUUACUUCGGUAAUGACGUUGGGAAAGCGAGCGGCGGAUGGGUGAGUAACACGUGGGGAACCUGCCCCUAAGUCUGGGAUACCAUUUGGAAACAGGUGCUAAUACCGGAUAAUAAAGCAGAUCGCAUGAUCAGCUUUUGAAAGGCGGCGUAAGCUGUCGCUAAGGGAUGGCCCCGCGGUGCAUUAGCUAGUUGGUAAGGUAACGGCUUACCAAGGCGACGAUGCAUAGCCGAGUUGAGAGACUGAUCGGCCACAUUGGGACUGAGACACGGCCCAAAACUCCUACGGGAGGCAGCAGUAGGGAAUCUUCCACAAUGGACGCAAGUCUGAUGGAGCAACGCCGCGUGAGUGAAGAAGGUUUUCGGAUCGUAAAGCUCUGUUGUUGGUGAUAGAAGGAUAGAGGUAGUAACUGGCCUUUAUUUGACGGUUAUCA